UUGAUACAGAACUCUUGCUUUGCAUUGGCCUAGAGAGAGGGAGGGCCCGAGUACCAAGAAAGCACGAUUUAAUUAUUUUUACAGUUCCAUGAAUUUUGAAUUCAUCUUCAAAACUUUCAACAACGGAUCUCUUGGCUCUCGCAUCGAUGGGGGAUGCAGCGAGAAGCGAUGAGCAAUCUGGAUUGCAGAUUGUCGUGAAUCAUCGAAUCUUGUGAACGCACAUUGCGCCCUCUGGAAUUCCAGAGGCAAUGCCUGUUUGAGCGCGAUUUCCGCCGCGAACCCCCGCGAUGCGUAUUCAGAGAGACCCGUAGUCGGACUAGGCGUUGGCUUGAAAAGAAUUGGGCAUAACUAGUACUGGAUAGUGCUGUGGACCGCUCAACGUAUGAGGUUUAUCAUACUCGUUGAAUGCCGAGGCGAGAGAUUUGUGGCAUUGUUGGCCCGUGCCUUAGAUUUUUCAAACGAGUUUGACCUCAAAUCAGGUAGAAACAGCGCUGAACUUAAGCAUAUACCGAGGGGAAAGAACAUACGGAUUCU
rnacentral:rRNA from 1 species